AUUGAACGCUGGCGGCAGGCUUAACACAUGCAAGUCGAGCGAGCGGCGGACGGGUGAGUAAUGUAUGGGGAUCUGCCCGAUAGAGGGGGAUAACUACUGGAAACGGUGGCUCAUACCGCAUACUAUAGGAUGAACCCAUAUGGGAUUAGCUAGGAGGUGGGGUAAAGGCUCACCUAGGCGACGAUCUCUAGCUGGUCUGAGAGGAUGAUCAUCCACUCUUGGACUGAGACACGGUCCAGACUCCUACGGUAGUCAGCAUUGGGUAUUAUUGCACAAUGGGCGCAAGCCUGAUGCAGCCAUGCCGCGUGUGUGAAGAAGGCCUUCGGGUUUUAAAGCACUUUCAGCGAGGAGUCGUUACUCGCAGAAGAAGCACCGGCUAACUCCGUGCCAGCAGCCGCGGUAAUUC
rnacentral:rRNA from 1 species